GAACGGUAGCACAGAGAGCUUGCUCUCGGGUGACGAGUGGCGGACGGGUGAGAAAUAGUCUGGGAAACUGCCUGAUGGAGGGGGAUAACUACUGGAAACGGUAGCUAAUACCGCAUAACGUCGCAAGACCAAAGAGGGGGACCUUCGGGCCUCUUGCCUCAGAUGUGCCCAGAUGGGAUUAGCUAGUAGGUGGGGUAACGGCUCACCUAGGCGACGAUCCCUAGCUGGUCUGAGAGGAUGACCGCCCACUGGAACUGAGACACGGUCCAGACUCCUACGGGAGGCAGCAUGGGCAAUAUUGCCUAUGGGC
rnacentral:rRNA from 1 species